rnacentral:lncRNA from 1 species
AAGUUUUCCAAUUUGGUGUAAUGUUGUGUAUUUAAUUGGCGAUCGCCUUCAAGAAGGUAAUUGACCUUAUCUAAAAUAACAACAUUGUUACUUUUAUCGGCUUUCUUAAUGAUUAAUGAUUCAUCAUUUAAACAGAGAAGAAAUGCCGGACCUCUGUGAAAGACUUAGAUUGUUUCGAAAUUUUCGAAUUUGCAUUGAAGAUAGUUCGUGCUUUGUAUUGAACA